rnacentral:rRNA from 1 species
AUACGGAGGAUCCGAGCGUUAUCCGGAUUUAUUGGGUUUAAAGGGUGCGCAGGCGGCCAUUUAAGUCAGCGGUUAAAUCGUGGGGCUCAACCCCAUUCUGCCGUUGAUACUGGGUGGCUUGAUUGCGGUCGAGGUUGGCGGAAUUCGUUGUGUAGCGGUGAAAUGCAUAGAUAUGACGAAGAACACCGAUUGCGUAGGCAGCUGACCAGACCGCAAAUGACGCUCAUGCACGAAAGUGCGGGGAUCGAACAGGAUUAGAUACCCUUGUAGUCCGCACAGUAAACGAUGCAUACUUGUUUUCGUCGAUAUAAUGUCGGAGGCAAAGCGAAAGCGAUAAGUAUUCCACCUGGGGAGUACGCCGGCAACGGUGAACCUCAAAUGAAUUGACGGGG